UGGUUUAUGUUUCAAAUAAUUUAUUGCCGUAGGAUGGGACUGCGGCCUAUCAGUUUGUUGGUGAGGUAAUGGCCCACCAAGACUAUUACAGGUACGGGCUCUGAGAGGAGUAGCCCGGAGAUGGGUACUGAGACACGGACCCAGGCCCUAUGGGGCGCAGCAGGCGAGAAAACUUUGCAAUGUGCGAAAGCACGACAAGGUUAAUCCGAGUGGUUUCUGCUAAAGGAACCUUUUGUCAGUCCUAGAAACACUGAUGAAUAAGGGGUGGGCAAGUUCUGGUGUCAGCCGCCGCGGUAAAACCAGCACCUCAAGUGGUCAGGAUGAUUAUUGGGCCUAAAGCAUCCGUAGCCUGCUUUGUAAGUUUUCGGUUAAAUCCAUACGCUCAACGUAUGGGCUGCCGGGAAUACUGCAAAGCUAGGGAGUGGGAGAGGUAGACGGUACUCGGUAGGAAGGGGUAAAAUCCUUUGAUCUAUUGAUGACCACCUGUGGCGAAGGCGGUCUACCAGAACACGUCCGACGGUGAGGGAUGAAAGCUGGGGGAGCAAACCGGAUCAGAUACCC
rnacentral:rRNA from 1 species